rnacentral:rRNA from 1 species
UCAGGAUGAACGCUGGCGGCGUGCCUAAUACAUGCAAGUCGAGCGGUAAGGCUCUGCACAGGUUAUUUGACCAAGGUAAGUUCCGCAAGGAAUACUGCCCUGAAGCAAGGAAACUCCAAGGCUGGAGUGUCCGAGUCGAAUAAUGUGUGUAGAGUACACGAGCGGCGGACGGCUGAGUAACGCGUAGGAACGUACCCCAAAGUGAGGGAUAAGCCAUCGAAAGAUGGUCUAAUACCGCAUGUGAUCUUCGGAUUAAAGCUUCGGCGCUUUGGGAACGGCCUGCGCCCGAUUAGCUAGUUGGUGAGGUAAUAGCUCACCAAGGCUUUGAUCGGUAGCUGGUCUGAGAGGAUGAUCAGCCAGACCGGGACUGAGAACGGCCCAGACUCCUACGGGAGGCAGCAGUAGGGAAUUUUCCACAAUGGACGAAAGUCUGAUGGAGCAACGCCGCGUGCAGGAUGAAUGCCUUAGGGUUGUAAACUGCUUUUAUUAGUGACGAAUAUGACGAUAGCUAAUGAAUAAGGACCUGCUAACUACGUGCCAGCAGCCGCGGUCAUACGUAGGGUCCAAGCGUUAUCCGGAAUUACUGGGCGUAAAGAGUUGCGUAGGUGGCAUAGUAAGUAGAUAGUGAAAGCGUGUGGCUCAACCACAUAUCCAUUAUCUAAACUGCUAAGCUAGAGAACGAGAGAGGUAGAUGGAAUUCCUGAUGUAGGGGUAAUAUCCGUAGAUAUCAGGAGGAACACCGAUGGCGUAGGCAGUCUACUGGCUCGUUUCUGACACUAAGGCACGAAAGCGUGGGUAGCAAACAGGAUUAGAUACCCUGGUAGUCCACGCCGUAAACUAUGGAUGCUAGCUGUAAGGA